rnacentral:rRNA from 1 species
UACGGAGGAUCCGCGCGUUAUCCGGAUUUAUUGGGUUUAAAGGGUGCGUAGGCGGCCUUGUAAGUCAGGGGUGAAAGACGGUAGCUUAACUAUCGCAGUGCCUUUGAUACUGCAGGGCUUGAAUGUACUUGAGGUAGGCGGAAUGUGACAAGUAGCGGUGAAAUGCAUAGAUAUGUCACAGAACACCAAUUGCGAAGGCAGCUUACUAAAGUAUGAUUGACGCUGAGGCACGAAAGCGUGGGGAUCAAACAGG